rnacentral:rRNA from 1 species
AUUAGGGUUCGAUUCCGGAGAGGGAGCCUGAGAAACGGCUACCACAUCUAAGGAAGGCAGCAGGCGCGCAAAUUACCCAAUCCUAAUACAGGGAGGUAGUGACAAGAAAUAACAAUACAGGACCUUUAAUGGUUUUGUAAUUGGAAUGAGUUAAGUAUAAACCCCUUUACAAGUAUCAAUUGGAGGGCAAGUCUGGUGCCAGCAGCCGCGGUAAUUCCAACUCCAAUAGCGUAUAUUAAAGUUGUUGCAGUUAAAAAGCUCGUAGUUGGAUUUCUGUUAAUUACUUUAUAUAAUUUUACACUUUCGUGUAGUUAUAUAGUAUUAACAUAAUUCAUAUUACUAUAUUUUUUGUAGUAUAUGAAAUUUUACUUUGAGAAAAUUAGAGUUCUUAAAGCAGGCUUUUGCCUUGAAUACUUCAGCAUGGAAUAAUAAUUAAAGAUUUUUAUCUUUCUUUUAUUGGUUCUAAGAUAAAAAUAAUGAUUAAUA